rnacentral:pre_miRNA from 6 species
AGUGGAAUUGCUGCAUCAUAUGGUAAAUCUAUGUUUAACUUUUUGAGAAAUCGCCAAACUCUUUUCCAAAGUGGCUGCACCAUUUUCCUUCCCACCAGCAAU